AGCGUAGACGGAUGGACAAGUCUGAUGUGAAAGGCUGGGGCUCAACCCCGGGACUGCAUUGGAAACUGCCCGUCUUGAGUGCCGGAGAGGUAAGCGGAAUUCCUAGUGUAGCGGUGAAAUGCGCAGAUAUUAGGAGGAACACCAGUGGCGAAGGCGGCUUACUGGACGGUAACUGACGUUGAGGCUCGAAAGCGUGGGGAGCAAACA
rnacentral:rRNA from 1 species